rnacentral:hammerhead_ribozyme from 1 species
GAACUGUUGAGGAGUCCCAUACUAGGACGAAACGGCCGUCCAGUGC